GAGGAUAUAGCUCAGUGGUAGAGCACAUGCUUAGCAUGCAUGAAGUCCUGGGUUCAAUCCCCAGUACUUGCA
rnacentral:tRNA from 1 species